UCCAAGGCCUUGGCCAUGCGUCUUCUCCCGCGUCAUUCUGAUGGGCCACCGGGCACAGGUUCCCUGACUGACAGGGAACUGCAGGCUGCCAGGCUCGGCACCCCGCCUUAAACCCAGACCCCCUAGGUCUGUAAUAGAAACCUGUGUAGGUACCCAGAGCGAACCAACAUAUUGAUCAUGUCAGAGGCAACUACUGCAACUUGCCCAAUUCAAGUCCACUCCCCAGUUGUAAAUUGCUAACACCUCUUCCCUCUGCCCUCCCUCUUCC